rnacentral:misc_RNA from 1 species
GAAGCCAGCCGCAGCUGGCCCGGGCAGCUGCUCCUCCUGGGCCCGGGGCCCCGGACGCUCGGACAAAGCCAGGCAGCGUUGGCAGCCCCAGACCCGACCCCAAAGGCCUGAGACUGGGGUGACUGGGACCUAAGAGAAUCCUGAGCUGGAGAGAUGCUGCCCCCACCCCCUUAGGCCCGAGGGAUCAGGAGCUAUGGGACCAGAGGCCCUGUCAUCUUUACUGCUGCUGCUCUUGGUGGCAAGUGGAGAUGCUGACAUGAAGGGACAUUUUGAUCCUGCCAAGUGCCGCUAUGCCCUGGGCAUGCAGGACCGGACCAUCCCAGACAGUGACAUCUCUGCUUCCAGCUCCUGGUCAGAUUCCACUGCCGCCCGCCACAGCAGGUUGGAGAGCAGUGACGGGGAUGGGGCCUGGUGCCCCGCAGGGUCGGUGUUUCCCAAGGAGGAGGAGUACUUGCAGGUGGAUCUACAACGACUGCACCUGGUGGCUCUGGUGGGCACCCAGGGACGGCAUGCCGGGGGCCUGGGCAAGGAGUUCUCCCGGAGCUACCGGCUGCGUUACUCCCGGGAUGGUCGCCGCUGGAUGGGCUGGAAGGACCGCUGGGGUCAGGAGGUGAUCUCAGGCAAUGAGGACCCUGAGGGAGUGGUGCUGAAGGACCUUGGGCCCCCCAUGGUUGCCCGACUGGUUCGCUUCUACCCCCGGGCUGACCGGGUCAUGAGCGUCUGUCUGCGGGUAGAGCUCUAUGGCUGCCUCUGGAGGGAUGGACUCCUGUCUUACACCGCCCCUGUGGGGCAGACAAUGUAUUUAUCUGAGGCCGUGUACCUCAACGACUCCACCUAUGACGGACAUACCGUGGGCGGACUGCAGUAUGGGGGUCUGGGCCAGCUGGCAGAUGGUGUGGUGGGGCUGGAUGACUUUAGGAAGAGUCAGGAGCUGCGGGUCUGGCCAGGCUAUGACUAUGUGGGAUGGAGCAACCACAGCUUCUCCAGUGGCUAUGUGGAGAUGGAGUUUGAGUUUGACCGGCUGAGGGCCUUCCAGGCUAUGCAGGUGAGUG